UGGGGAAUUUUGGACAAUGGGCGCAAGCCUGAUCCAGCCAUGCCGCGUGCAGGAUGAAGGCCUUCGGGUUGUAAACUGCUUCUGUACGGAACGAAAAGACUCUGGUUAAUACCUUGUGCGGAUGACGGUACCAUCAGAAGAAGCACCGGCUAACUACGUGCCAGCAGCCGCGGUAAUACGUAGGGUGCGAGCGUUAAUCGGAAUUACUGGGCGUAAAGCGUGCGCAGGCGGUUAUGUAAGACAGAUGUGAAAUCCCCGGGCUCAACCUGGGAACUGCGUUUGUGACUGCAUAACUAGAGUACGGUAGAGGGGGAGGGAAUUCCGCGUGUAGCAGUGAAAUGCGUAGAUAUGCGGAGGAACAACGAUGGCGAAGGCAGCCUCCUGGGCCAGUACUGACGCUCAUGCACGAAAGCGUGGGGAGCAAACA
rnacentral:rRNA from 1 species